rnacentral:rRNA from 1 species
AGAGUUUGAUCAUGGCUCAGAUUGAACACUGGCGGCAGGCCUAACACAUGCAAGUCGAACGGUAACAGGAAACAGCUUGCUGUUUCGCUGACGAGUGGCGGACGGGUGAGUAAUGUCUGGGAAACUGCCUGAUGGAGGGGGAUAACUACUGGAAACGGUAGCUAAUACCGCAUAACGUCGCAAGACCAAAGAGGGGGACCUUCGGGCCUCUUGCCAUCAGAUGUGCCCAGAUGGGAUUAGCUAGUAGGUGGGGUAACGGCUCACCUAGGCGACGAUCCCUAGCUGGUCUGAGAGGAUGACCAGCCACACUGGAACUGAGACACGGUCCAGACUCCUACGGGAGGCAGCAGUGGGGAAUAUUGCACAAUGGGCGCAAGCCUGAUGCAGCCAUGCCGCGUGUAUGAAGAAGGCCUUCGGGUUGUAAAGUACUUUCAGCGGGGAGGAAGGGAGUAAAGUUAAUACCUUUGCUCAUUGACGUACCCGCAGAAGAAGCACCGGCUAACUCCGUGCCAGCAGCCGCGGUAAUACGGAGGGUGCAAGCGUUAAUCGGAAUUACUGGGCGUAAAGCGCACGCAGGCGGUUUGUUAAGUCAGAUGUGAAAUCCCCGGGCUCAACCUGGGAACUGCAUCUGAUACUGGCAAGCUUGAGUCUCGUAGAGGGGGGUAGAAUUCCAGGUGUAGCGGUGAAAUGCGUAGAGAUCUGGAGGAAUACCGGUGGCGAAGGCGGCCCCCUGGACGAAGACUGACGCUCAGGUGCGAAAGCGUGGGGAGCAAACAGGAUUAGAUACCCUGGUAGUCCACGCCGUAAACGAUGUCGACUUGGAGGUUGUGCCCUUGAGGCGUGGCUUCCGGAGCUAACGCGUUAAGUCGACCGCCUGGGGAGUACGGCCGCAAGGUUAAAACUCAAAUGAAUUGACGGGGGCCCGCACAAGCGGUGGAGCAUGUGGUUUAAUUCGAUGCAACGCGAAGAACCUUACCUGGUCUUGACAUCCACGGAAGUUUUCAGAGAUGAGAAUGUGCCUUCGGGAACCGUGAGACAGGUGCUGCAUGGCUGUCGUCAGCUCGUGUUGUGAAAUGUUGGGUUAAGUCCCGCAACGAGCGCAACCCUUAUCCUUUGUUGCCAGCGGUCCGGCCGGGAACUCAAAGGAGACUGCCAGUGAUAAACUGGAGGAAGGUGGGGAUGACGUCAAGUCAUCAUGGCCCUUACGACCAGGGCUACACACGUGCUACAAUGGCGCAUACAAAGAGAAGCGACCUCGCGAGAGCAAGCGGACCUCAUAAAGUGCGUCGUAGUCCGGAUUGGAGUCUGCAACUCGACUCCAUGAAGUCGGAAUCGCUAGUAAUCGUGGAUCAGAAUGCCACGGUGAAUACGUUCCCGGGCCUUGUACACACCGCCCGUCACACCAUGGGAGUGGGUUGCAAAAGAAGUAGGUAGCUUAACCUUCGGGAGGGCGCUUACCACUUUGUGAUUCAUGACUGGGGUGAAGUCGUAACAAGGUAACCGUAGGGGAACCUGCGGUUG